rnacentral:rRNA from 1 species
CCCUUAGAUGUUCUGGGCCGCACGCGCGCUACACUGAUGAAUUCAACGAGCUCCUAACCUGGGCCGAAGGGUCCGGGUAAUCUUUGAAAUUUCAUCGUGAUGGGGAUAGAUUAUUGCAAUUAUUAAUCUUCAACGAGGAAUUCCUAGUAAGCGCGAGUCAUCAGCUCGCGUUGAUUACGUCCCUGCCCUUUGUACACACCGCCCGUCGCUCCUACCGAUUGAAUGGUCCGGUGAAAUGUUCGGACCGCGACAAGGCGGACGGUUCGCUGUCAGCUUUGCUGCGGGAAGUUCAUUAAACCUUAUCAUUUAGAGGAAGGAGAAGUCGUAACA